GAGCAAUGAACAUUCUAUUUUCAUUUUUUCUUUACUAGAAAAUAAUACAUUAUGCAAUCAAAUCUCCAGACACCAUUACACAACGGCCGAAAUCCACAUCCCACCAUUACACAGCGGCCGAAAUCCACAACCCAUUGAAACUCGGCAAGAACACAUCGACCGACUUACCAAAGAACUACAAAUGAGUACACAAGUCUGGAUGUGAACAGUCAGGAGUCUGCAACGCCUCAAAUCUUCUCCCACAGGCUCCUUCUUUGUAACUGUACCGG
rnacentral:lncRNA from 1 species